GGCACAGUGGUGCAGUGGUGAGUGCUGUUGCCUGGUGAUAAAGAGGUUCUGGGUUUGAGUCUCAGCUGGCUG